UUCCCGCGGCGGGGCUGGCUAUGUCGCUGCUGCGCGGGCCCAGGCCCCGCGGCGCCGGCAGGAAGGGCGCUAGGAAGCCGCCGCCGGUUAAGCGGGACUGGGACGGUACCGUCCAUGAUCUGACAGUCCACCGUGCAACUCCUGAGGACAUUCUGCGUCGCCAUGAAAUACACAAGUCAAAAAACAAAGCACUGGCGCAGCUGGAACUGCAAGAGAAAGCACUGAAAAAAAAAUGGAAGAAGCAAAAGGCUGCUGAUUCCUUGGAGAGAAGGAAAUUGAUUCUGAUGCGUGAGAUUCUGUCUGAUCAAUACCAUUUGCAAGAUGUAUUGGAACGAACUGAUCAGGUUAUGGCUGUGGCAAAAGACUUGGUUGGGGACGCUCCUCGCACACGAACAGGUAUCCCCAAUGUGACAAUGGCUCCUAACUGUGACCUAGAAUCAUCUCAAGGACCCAUUGUACAAAAAUGUGAUGCUCCCACUCAGCUUUCCAUCCUUAGUGAGUCUGUCAUGCGUUCCCAGGCUCUUAAUGAAGUGGAAGAGGAGGCAUCAUCAAUCUAUCGAUCAGAAGAUGGACAUCAUGACUCUCUGCAUUUCAAAUCCAGCAUCAGUUCUGACAGACUACUUCGGCUGUUGAGAGAAGAAAAUUCCUUGGAGAAUUCCCAGUUGUGGGCUGAAAAGGAUAUGAGAAAAACUACCUUAUCACAGGAAUCAAACGUGCCUUUGACUCCAACUGCUUCUCCAUCAUGGGAUCAGUCAGCCCUCAAUGGUAGCAGUGUAGUCAAGAGAAUCCAUUCAAGACUUCAGAAGGAAGAUGAAGAAGAGACUGGAGACUCCAUUUACAGUGUGAGACAAGUGCUGAACCCAAAGUCAAGGAAACAAAAGCAAAUUGCAGCAAAAGUGAAAAGGAAGGAAACUGCACAGAACUCUGCGAGACAGAGGAGAGAUGGUUCCCCAGAUGAUUCAAUCCCCAUCAACCUUCGGAGGGACAAAUCCAGCCUGGAUGUUCUCAACCACAUGAUACAUGAAGUGGAGCAUGAAUUGGAGGAAUAUGAGCGAUGUACAGGUCGCGUGGUUCAGAAAACUGAGAGAAGUGAAGGGCUCGCUGGGUUUACCUUGUCACUGGUGAACGCUCUCUGUCGUCUGAUGCGCUACCUCAAAGAGAGUGAAAUGCAGCUGCGUGAGAAGGAGGUGGUGAGGCAGCAGCAUGAGGAGAUGUUGAAUGAACACAGAGAACUGAUUGAUGCCCUGACCGCAGAAAUACUUCUAGUCAGGGAGGAAAACAAUACUAUGCAGAAGAAGCUUCAGCAAUACAUGACAGUAACAGAUGAACAGCUGAUGUCUCUCACACAAGCAUUUAAAGGCCUCCCUUUGGUAGAAUCCAGAAGAGAACAAAGUCCAAACCAUUCUGGAAUUGCAGGCAAAGGUCCAGCAAAUGGCCAAGAAAAACCUGACUUGAGCUAUUCUGAGCCCAGGACUGAUGCAGACAACAGGGAAAAUAUGCUGAAAUUCCCGCAGGAAGAACUUCCUUUCAUGUGUCCCCCGAGGCCAGGUACCUCAGGUGGUGUAGGAUCUGGUGGAGGUUUGCCAGCUCACAUCUUCCAGCCAGCUGUGCUGUUGUCACCCCCGCGGCAGAAGAGCAGUCAGGAAUUGUCUCCGCUCCAGAACGCAUUCACAGUCAUUCCUCAGUCUCCUGAAAACACCGAAAGAGAACCAUGCAAGGAAAGGAGCUCACCUUCCUCCCUCAGAACACAGAGCACAACUGAGAACUGUCUCAUCUCUCAAAGGCAACCGGUUCCUCCUGCAGACAGAGACCUGGAGAGUUCCCAUGAGAAAAGCAGUCUGUCCUGCCCCCAGGACACUAGGAAAAGCAGCCCAGCUGAAGAGUCACUUCCAAACGGCGAUCUGCUGGCACAGAUAGCUGAGCUCACACGGCAGAACUCCCUCAUUAAAGCUCAACUCAGCAAAUUCAGAGGCUUCUCUGAAGACACAAGUGACUACCUACAUCAGCUAGACCCAAUACAAAAUGCAAAUCCUAGUCCAGCCUCUUCACAAGGACAGACUCCUCUCAUGGCGUCGAAGAGCUUGGAGGAAAGAAUAGCAGAGCUGAAUCGUCAGAGUACAGAAGCACGUGAUAAACUGUUGCAGCUAAUAGAGCAGCAGAAGUUAGCUGCUGCUGAUACGGUCCCUCCAAUGACAUCUCCUGUUCUGCCCCCAUCCCUAAAUUAUCCUGAAUCAAGCUAUUAUUUAUUGCCUAGAAAAUGCCAGGAGGACAAUUGAAGUGUCUAUUCCCAUGGCAGCUGCUAUGGACAGCUCCAAAGAAGACAGUGUUUCCCCUGCCAGUAUGACCAGUAUAAGAAGGUCAGUAGGAGACUCCAGCAAACCUUGUUCACCCCUAAGUGCCACAUCAGAAAGCGUGAGAUUAACUCAGCCAAGGCCAAAGGUGGAAAAGCACAAAGAGGAAGGCUGGUUUGCAUUGUCAAUGCACGUCAUGUAAAGGAAGCUGCACUCAAGUCCUAUAUUUUGUAUGUUUUUUUUAUGAACCACACUAGAUCACAGUAGUCCCCUUCUCCAGAUGUACAGUUAAAUUCUGAAGUGCUUUCCUGUCAAUGUCAUUAGUGUAAAAAGGUCCAUAAUGCUUAUUGUGUUUGUGCCAUACAGAGCACACACUGCAGGAAGUCCUGGGAGUGAGUUUCUGAGGUAGACAUGCUGCUGUGACAUCAGAUCUUUACACCAAAUAACUCUUUCACAAGAGUGUAAACUCGGGCUGCUGUAGUAAUACAACUGAGCAUCUGAUACCUGUGUUCUGAUACACGGAAGACAGGAGGUUUUGGAAAUUCCAUGUGAAACUUCCUGGAUCGUGUAUUCACACAAGAUGGGAAUGAAAAAUUCAGGAAAAACUGAGAUGAGGGAAUGCACCCUCAUGUUCAAAAGCAACCUGGAGAUUAGGAGGCCAGUCUGUUCCUCCUGGAUAAAAAUUUGCAUAACAAAUAAUUUGUUGCUUCCGUGGUUUACACUUGCUCCCAGAAGUUGUUUUCUGUGCAGUUUCUGUCUCGGGAAUUACAUCUGGACUCAAGGAUUGCUUUUUAAAGAUCCCAUUUAAUAUUUUUAUACUAAAUCUAAAGUGACUAUUUGAAGUCGAAAUCAGCAUCUCUAUUUGCUGUGUACCAAGGUAUGAUCUCUUUGAUACAAUAGAAGACUGACGUGAGUGUGAUUGUAUUAAGCUGUUUUGUUAUGUGUGUAUAUUAUACUCUGAUGGCUGUAUUUUUAUAUUGGGUUUCUUUGACUUUUUAAAGUAGCCAGUAUUUUAUUAUUAAUGAUUAACAAUAAAAUCUAGGACAGAAGAAA